rnacentral:rRNA from 1 species
UGGUCAAGUUAUUAAGGGUGCAGGGCGGAUGCCUUGGCACUAGGAGCCGAUGAAGGACGUGAUAAGCUGCGAUAAGCUUCGGGGAGUUGCACGUAAACUUUGAUCCGAAGAUUUCCGAAUGAGGAAACUCACUUAGAGUAAUGUCUAAGUAUCAUUAAGUGAAUACAUAGCUUAAUGAGGGGAACUCAGGGAACUGAAACAUCUAAGUACCUGAAGGAAGAGAAAGAAAUUCGAUUCCGUAAGUAGCGGCGAGCGAACGCGGAUUAGCCCAAACCAAUAAAGUUUUCUUUAUUGGGGUUGCGGACAUAUCAUAACGAAGAGGUAUCGUAAUUGAAGAGGUUUGGAACGACCCACCACAGAAGGUAAUAGUCCUGUAUGUUAAACGAGAAGACUUUAGAUAUGAUCCAGAGUACCACGGGACACGUGAAACCCUGUGGGAAGCAGGAGGGACCACCCUCCAAGGCUAAAUACUACCUAGUGACCGAUAGCGUAUAGUACCG